GAUGAACGCUGGCGGCGUGCCUAAUACAUGCAAGUCGAGCGAACGGACGAGAAGCUUGCUUCUCUGAUGUUAGCGGCGGACGGGUGAGUAACACGUGGAUAACCUACCUAUAAGACUGGGAUAACUUCGGGAAACCGGAGCUAAUACCGGAUGAUAUUUUGAACCGCAUGGUUCAAAAGUUAAAGACGGUCUUGCUGUCACUUAUAGAUGGAUCCGCGCUGCAUUAGCUAGUUGGUAAGGUAACGGCUUACCAAGGCAACGAUGCAUAGCCGACCUGAGAGGGUGAUCGGCCACACUGGAACUGAGACACGGUCCAGACUCCUACGGGAGGCAGCAGUAGGGAAUCUUCCGCAAUGGGCGAAAGCCUGACGGAGCAACACCGCGUGAGUGAUGAAGGUCUUCGGAUCGUAAAACUCUGUUAUUAGGGAAGAACAUAUGUGUAAGUAACUGUGCACAUCUUGACGGUACCUAAUCAGAAAGCCACGGCUAACUACGUG
rnacentral:rRNA from 1 species